GAUGAACGCUAGCGGCAGGCCUAAUACAUGCAAGUCGAACGAUAUUAAGGGGCUUGCUCCUUAAGAAAGUGGCGCACGGGUGCGGAACGCGUAUGCAACCUACCUUAAUCAGGGGGAUAGCCCGAAGAAAUUCGGAUUAACACCGCAUAAAAACACAGGAUAGCAUUAUCCAAUGUUCAAAUAUUAAUAGGAUUAAGAUGGGCAUGAGUGUCAUUAGCUAGUUGGCGGGGUAACGGCCCACCAAGGCGACGAUGACUAGGGGAUCUGAGAGGAUGACCCCCCACACUGGUACUGAGACACGGACCAGACUCCUACGGGAGGCAGCAGUAAGGAAUAUUGGUCAAUGGAGGCAACUCUGAACCAGCCAUGCCGCGUGCAGGAAGACUGCCCUAUGGGUUGUAAACUGCUUUUAUCCGGGAAUAAACCUUUCUACGUGUAGGAAGCUGAAUGUACCGGAAGAAUAAGGAUCGGCUAACUCCGUGCCAGCCGCCGCCGUAACAC
rnacentral:rRNA from 1 species